CUGCUCAAUGAUUUUUUAAAUUGCUGUGGUAUUUUGACUAUACAAAGGUAUUGAAAUAAGAUUUUAAUUGAGUGCUAAGAGAAUGUAAAUUCAAAAAAAAUCUUUUUUAAAAUUAAAAAUUGAAGUUAUUUUUUUUGUGAAGAAACAAAAAUAUAAAUUAAGGACAAGAAGACCCUAUGAAUUUUUAUUUAAUUAUAAAUUUGAAUAUAAUUUUUAUAAUUUAAUUUAAUUGGGGCGAUUUAAAAAUAUUUUCAACUUUUUUAAAAGUUAAGAAGAUCCUUUAUUAAAGAUAAAUUGAUUAAAUACUCUAGGGAUAACAGCGUAAUAAUUUUAGAUAGUUCUUAUAGAAAAAAUAGUUUGCGACCUCGAUGUUGGAUUAGGAUACUAAUUUAAUGGAGAAGUUAAAUUAAGAAGNNNGUUCAACUUUUAAUUUCCUACUUGAUCUGAGUUCAGACCGG
rnacentral:rRNA from 1 species